rnacentral:lncRNA from 1 species
AAGCACUCUCUCAGCCUAGAACUAUGUACUUGACAGCUAUGACCAGUCAUAAUCAUUAUUAUCAUUACCGACGCCUCACCACCGCUGUGGCACAUGUACCCAUCUCUUAUCUCCUAUACAUUGGCAUGGGAACUCCUCAUCUUCCUCCUCCCACUUCUCACGGCAGGAAGAUAGUGGGAGCGGGCGUGCCGAUCUUCUGGCAUCAACAAUGGCGGUGAGCUCUCUCUCUCUCUCUUUCCUCAGUCGUUGUCUGGCAAUUUGUGAGCUCGUUGAUCCAUAGUUUUUCGUACUCUGGAUCACGGAAGCAUGCGAUGGUUUCUACCGGACGGAAUCUCCUGUGCAAAAUUUCCACUGACUAGAAACUCUGUGAAAGAUUCCUUCGUUUCCUCAAACUCUGUCUCCGUACGUGUGUGAUUCUUGUUCUGCAUAUUGGGUUUUUUUUUCUGGUUUGUUCGAUCGAGAACAUGUAUAUUCUUGAAUAGUUCCAGACCAUAGAGACGGAUCGGCCUGUGCUGAUUUUGCCAUGUAGAGUGGUGGCGAUUGCGGAGGCGGGCCUGCUCCGUCUCCUUCCUGCGGUGGCGCCAUGGGAGGCGGAGGCGGCGAAGCUUUCUCCAUGUGCAGAUGAACCAGUAGUACCGUAGUAGUACGGGAGAAGAAGAUUAGAUAGGAAGGAGAUGGAACCAUGCGCCUGGACUGGUCUAAUGGACUGCUAUUGUGAGGGGGAAAUAAAAUUCCCAACACGCCUCUCAGUCUGAAAUUCUCAAUGCCCCACCAGUCACCACACGCCCACAAAUGAGCGUUGAGCUGGCGGCGGCGGCGCUGGAUGCUAUUAGAACCAGCAGCAGCAGAUACUAAUUCCUCCCCUUUUCUUUUUGAUUCUGGUGAUACUUUUUUAUAUCUCUGCUCCAUGUUGUUAGAACCGUGGACUAAUCAGAACUGGGAUUUAGAAAUAUGGAAUAAUUAAUUUCACUGUCCAAAUAUGAUGUUGUAGGAAAUUCAUCAAGCUGGUGUUAAUCUACUGAUCAAUUUCAGUGUCAGAUGCUAAAACUAUUGUGUUAAUAGUUUCAAAGUAUUUUUAGUAUGUAGUAGUCCCAUGUCCUGGUAAUUGCAUUCCAUGGAUCUCUUUUGGGAACCAUUUAUUUUGUCGAGUGGACUUGCAUUUGCCUUGAAAAAUCUAGACCUUAAAUGUUCACCCCGGGAAACCACAAUUCUUGGCCCUGCUUAGCUUCUCAAUCUGUUUGUUUGUCUGCAUUUUAACGCAUUGGUCAUGUAACAGGGGAUUACACCGAAUAAGGUGCUGCAGUCAUUUGUCAGAAUACUAACCUGUAUCGGUGAAAUGAGCACCAGCAGAACUCCUUCAUAGGGCACUCUCAUCUGUAUGCUGGUCUAUUUGAUCUGACAUGUGCUUUUUUAAUCUUCUUUGGUGCAUUAUGGGGCCUUAGUGUUGAAUGAGAUUGUGCUGAUUUUGCCUCUAGGUAAUCGGCCAUCGCAUUGGUCGUUGCGAGCAAAAGCUUUUCUCGCUUCCCGGUUUAAAUCCAGUUCCAUCAUUUGUGUAUUCGCUUUGCUGCUAUAGCUUGAUAAUUGAUAAUGAGAUCAGUUCUUCAUAACGCAGUAUUGUCGUGGAAACCAAUAGCGUCAUAUAUAGCAAUGGGUACACAGAUUUCUGCGUACCACAAUUCUUGGCUCCGCCAUGUCGCGUUGGCUCGUUAGCUCCUCAAUCUGUUUGUUUGUCUGCAAUUUCACACAUUGGUCAUGUAACAGGGGAUUACACCGAAUAAGCCCUCCUUUGGUUCAUAGGAUAGGAAAAUUAUAGAAAUAGAAAAUUCACACGGAAUGAGAUGACAUGUAUCUCAAAUCCUAUGAAUGGGAAUAGGAAAGGAGAUGCUCUUUGGUUCGCAUCAUAGGAUUUUUUUUUCACCGAGUCUGGG